CACUUCCUCCCAUUUCCUGUGGGCAGCCAGAGGCCUGAACGCAGCUGCUCUGCUGCCUGGGGCCUGACAAAGGGAGUCCAGACCGCACCCUGCUCAUCUACUGCCUCAUCUUUUAGCUCUGCCUAACCCCUCAGCCCCAUUCUGCUGAGUCCUUGAGGCCACCUCCACCAAAAGCUACUGCGCAUGGCUUUAUUUAUCAUGGCUUUUCAAGUGCACAAGCAAAACACAGGGAGGAGUUGAAAAAGUACUUCACGGCUGGGAACAAGCCAGGGCUGUCCCUCAUCAGGAAGAAGUCUUAAAAAGUGAUUUCCUAUUUUCAAUUCCAUGAGGUAAUAUAAGUAAAAAGAACCCCAGCAUGGGCUGGCGACGGCCUCGUGCUAACCUACCUGCUGGGCAGGCCUGGGCCUCCUGUGAACAGAACUGGGGCAGAACAUCUAACUCCGCCCACCCUUAGUUAUUCUCAAGAGGCCAUGAAAUCCGAAUUCCCAUUUCCCAGAAAACCGCUGCCAGGCCAGCACAAACGCCCCCUGCACUUGGUAGUUACGUUCCUCGCUGUUAAUUAAGGAGCCAGCAGGCGGGUGCACACAGCACUCCCCUGCCACUCUGCCCAGUGACCAGAUAGCAUGGAGGACCACUCGACAGAAGGAAUGUUCUCAGCCCAGGCCGGCACCAACGCAGGUGCUCCUGAGGCCCAGCCAACAACAACUUCACCCAGGGCUCAUGAACUGGGGCAGGAAGCACCUGGCCAGUGACCCCCAUCCAAAGGACUGAGUUCACAUCCAAGCUCCUCCACCCCAAGACCCACCAUCCCAAAUGCCACCUGCACAGAGGGUUGCCUCGAGGCCAGGCCCCAUAAGGUUCCACACUCUUCAGUCUGCUGGGGGCCUCCAAGCCUGCUUCACUGGCCUGUCACCUGCUGGACUAUGCAGCCUGUUUGUGUUCACACUUCACCGUCUAGGAAGGACUCCUGGACGUCAAUUUUCUGCAACACCUGGAACCAGACAGACAGAGAGAACUUGACUUGUUCAGGUCCUAGGUGACUGUGCAAUGUGAGUGGGUUACGAGGCCCAAAGGUUUACAGAGACAGCAGCUGAGAUCACAGGCCAAACCCCAAAGAAACUCUGGCACAGGAGGACGCUGUGGAACUAACGACUCUCUUAAAAGCUUCCUGAUCCAUCUCUGCUCACCACCUGGCAGAGACAGCUUAUCUCUCAUUGGUGGGAAUCUGAGCCUAGGGUCAGAGCAGUAAGCAAAGCCUGUUCUUCACACAUGGGGAGGAUAUAGGAACAUGCCUUCACCACGUCUGCAACCCGGGAAGGAGAGACGUUACCUCCCCUAAGCACACCCUGUACUUGCCAUGUUUCAUAGGGAACAAACCGAAACCACCUCCUGCUAUCCCCCGCCUUUGCUGACACCUGUAAAGCUGCCAACCCGCCUCUGCACAUACCUGCAUC